GAUGAACGCUAGCGGGAGGCUUAACACAUGCAAGUCGAGGGGCAUCACGAGGUGGCAAUACUUUGGUGGCGACCGGCGCACGGGUGAGUAACACGUAUGCAACCUUCCCUGUACAGGGGGAUAACCCGGAGAAAUUCGGACUAAUACCCAUGAUGAUAUUUAUGGGCAUCCAUUGAUAUUUAAAGCUCUGGCGGUACAGGAUGGGCAUGCGCGACAUUAGCUAGUUGGUAAGGUAACGGCUUACCAAGGCUACGAUGUUUUAGGGGACCUGAGAGGGUUGUCCCCCACACUGGUACUGAGACACGGACCAGACUCCUACGGGAGGCAGCAGUGAGGAAUAUUGGUCAAUGGGCGCAAGCCUGAACCAGCCAUCCCGCGUGAAGGAAGAAUGCGCUACGCGUUGUAAACUUCUUUUCCUAGGGGGAGGAAUAAUCCUGUCGUGACAGGACUUGACGGUACUCUGGGAAUAAGCAUCGGCUAACUCCGUGCCAGCAGCCGC
rnacentral:rRNA from 1 species